rnacentral:misc_RNA from 1 species
UACAUACUAGGUUAAGUCUCUACAUGCAUAAUAUAUUUAUAUUAAACUAGCUUUUGUAAUGCAAAAAUAGAAUAUAAUAGAGAAGAGCUUUUGACUAUUAUUCUUGAGCCUUUUGGAUCUCUACUUCAUUAGGCUUCUCUAGUUUUUUUGCCUUGUUCCACACCAUUUUCAAUGUUAACAUGUUUGCAGGCUUCAUUUGGUCCUCCACCAACACAACUCUCAUUGGAAGAUAAGGCAACUUCCCUUGUCCAACUUUUCAAUGUCUCCACAGCUGCUUCAUCUAUUCUUGGCACAGUGUGGCCUUGAGGAUGCCUUAUGAUGAUAGGAUUCUCAAAAUCUGUUGUAAGUUCUUGUGAAGGAAGUUUGAGCCAAUCUUUCUCUCCAAUAAAAUGAACUGAUUUAACCUUCAUCAUAUCUUUGUAUGCAAUGUUACAAAUAUUUGGGUCCCUAAAUUUGGCACCUGAUAUUGAUACAAAUAAUUUCAUUGGUGGAUGCUCUUUCAGAAUCUCCCCCUGCUCCAUGUACCCUAGUAAAAGGCCUGAUAAAGUUGCUCCCUGGGAGAAUCCG